AAUUAACAAUUUUAUUAACUACAUUAAUCCAAUUUAUUAAGCACUAUAAAUGAGCUGUGGUGUUGAGUUACAUAAUUAUAUUAAAAAAGUAAUAAAUAACCCUCUGAUGAAUAGCAUAUGCCCAUCAACCAAACAUCUUGGUAGAAGAAAUAUGGGCCAAGAAAAGAGGCGGCAUACUAUGUAGUAAAAUCGGCCCAUAUAAAGUGUUUACAUGUUAUGUUGAAUGCCUCAGACCUGGAGAAAUGCUUGAAAGUGAGCUAGAACCCAUCAGUAUUUAUAAAUCUGCAAACAGUGUGUGUAAUUGUUCUUUUAAAAUAUUUUGGUUUAAUCAAUUGUUUUUUAGGCAUAAAUAAAUGUAAUGUAAGGGAUACAAUUGUGUAAAUCUAUUUGUUUUUUGUUUUAGGUUAUCAAUGCAUACUUGACCUUGCUUACAAAAAACUACACAGGCAAGGGCUAUGUACUUGAUUCAUAUCAGGCAUCAAACCUCUGGAAUGGCAGUGGCAGUUUAAUGAAAAGGCUGGAUCCAGGCAAAUAUGAUGUUGUGAUUGGUUCAAUUAACGAGAACAACCACUGGACACUCAUGGUCUGUUUCUUUCCAGUCUCAUCCUUCUGUGAACUAAAGUGAUAGAAAUUCAGAGCAAGGUUAAAUAAUUUUCAUUUUACAGGUGAUUUAUCCUAAAGAACGGAGGAUUCUAUACUUAAAUUAUCUUGGUGAAGACCAUAAAAAAUUUGCUCAGUGUGAAAAGGUUGUAAGGUCAGAACAAACAUAUGCCCUUAAUGUCCUCAUUUAUUAAUUGCUUGUCUGAUUUUUGUUAACGUUUGAAAUAUUUCUGAACCCAACAAAGCAAAUUUAUGGCCACAAAAGGAAUUGCUGGGAAGUGGGAAUGUGGUACUUUACCACACAGCUUUCAACAGGAUGGCAAUUCAUGUGGGAUUUUUUUUUUGUUGUUGUUGUUGUUUUUUUUUAAAGCACAGUUAUCAAAAGUGUUAAAGUAUUGGGGGUUUAAUUAAUUAUUUUUGUAGUUUGCAGAAGCAAUUCUAACAGGUGGCAGUUUGGAGUUUAAAACCACAGCUGCAAAUAUCAAUAUGUUUCGCAAAGAAAUGGGCCUGUGUCUGCUACAAAAAAGUGAUGACCUUUCAGACUUAUGCUUGGCAUGUGGGGACAAAUACCCAUCCACACAAGAUACACAUGACUCUUGGGUCUGUCAGCCAGCAAUUGCUCUUUGAAUGUUCUUUGAAUGUUUCUUUAAAAUAUGCUGUCAUGUCAUUGUUUUAUUCAGAUUCAGUGUGACUGCUGUAAUGGGUGGUUUCACUGGGAAUGUGUAAACCGACCCAAUACAAAAGAUGUUUUUGUCUGUCCUGGAUGCCAAGGCCCUGUUUAAUUUAAUUUGAUUUCUAUGCACCAUUUGAUUUAUAAUUACUCUCUGUCUGCCCUUCCAACUUACCUCAGGAUGCCCAUAUAAUCCCAAGCUUCAGUUGGAUGCCAGACUCUCACAGAGACAGUGCCCAUCCCAAGGUUCUGGUGGUGCUGUUCUGGAUGUACUCCACAUAUUUAAUUCUUUCCUGGUUUUGCUUUUUUCUUCAUGCUUUAAAACAUGCAACAUUGUAAAGCACCAUAUAAUUAUAUGAGAAUAGAGUGGAAUUUCUUGUAAUGACUAUGCAUUCUGAU